rnacentral:rRNA from 1 species
UACGAAGGGGGCUAGCGUUGUUCGGAUUUACUCGGCGUAAAGCGCGCGUAGGCGGGUCACUAAGUCAGGGGUGAAAUCCCGAGGCUUAACCUCGGAACUGCCUUUGAUACUGGUGACCUGGAGAUCGGGAGAGGUUGGUGGAAUUCCGAGUGUAGAGGUGAAAUUCGUAGAUAUUCGGAGGAACACCAGAAGCGAAGGCGGCCAACUGGCCCGAUACUGACGCUGAGGCGCGAAAGCGUGGGGAGCAAACAGG